UACGGGGGGGGCAAGCGUUGCUCGGAAUUACUGGGCGUAAAGGGCUCGUAGGCGGCCAACUAAGUCAGACGUGAAAUCCCUAGGCUCAACCUAGGAACUGCGUCUGAUACUGGACGGCUAGAGUAUGGGAGAGGGAUGUAGAAUUCCAGGUGUAGCGGUGAAAUGCGUAGAUAUCUGGAGGAAUACCGGUGGCGAAGGCGGCAUCCUGGACCAUUUACUGACGCUGAGGCGCGAAAGCUAGGGGAGCAAACGGG
rnacentral:rRNA from 1 species